ACCUUCACCAUAACCAACACCUUCACCAUUGCAGUGUGUAUUAGAUUCUGAGAAGAUGUUGAUUAUAAGUCACUGACUUCAGCUUUUACACACAGGAUGAUAUUUUCACCUCUUUGGAUGUUCCAUGGCGUUGUGGCUCGAGGAAGGUUUUCAUUACCUGCACCCUCAGCUUCGCGUAAUCGACAUUGGGCGCCGUGUCAUGCCGUUGUCGCAACGCCAUUGCUUAUUGCGUUUGAGUUGCUCCUUUGUAUAUAUCUUGAAAGCUUAUAUGUUCGUGGCUUUGCAGCAGUCGACCUGAAGAUUGUGUUCCUUCCUUUACUAACAUUUGAAAUCAUAAUUGUCAUUGACAAUUUCAG